UAGGGAAUCUUCCACAAUGGACGCAAGUCUGAUGGAGCAACGCCGCGUGAGUGAAGAAGGUUUUCGGACCGUAAAGCUCUGUUGUUGGUGAAGAAGGAUAGAGGUAGUAACUGGCCUUUAUUUGACGGUAAUCAACCAGAAAGUCACGGCUAACUACGUGCCAGCAGCCGCGGUAAUACGUAGGUGGCAAGCGUUGUCCGGAUUUAUUGGGCGUAAAGCGAGCGCAGGCGGAAGAAUAAGUCUGAUGUGAAAGCCCUCGGCUUAACCGAGGAAUUGCAUCGGAAACUGUUUUCUUGAGUGCAGAAGAGGAGAGUA
rnacentral:rRNA from 1 species